rnacentral:lncRNA from 1 species
UGGGUGAUGGAGCCCCCCCUGAGAAAGCCACUUUGAUUGAGGCAGUAUAAAACAGACACACGCAGAAGGACUCACUGAAGAGAAAAACUAACAGGGAAAUUUGAAGGUUGGUGUGAGAAAAUAAGUAAACGGAUAUAAAGUGCCGGAACAGACUCAGCCAUGAGCCAAGCUUUCUCUCCUGAAUAGAGAAGUCGAACAAGCAGAACGGGAUGGGUAGGGGUGGGGUUGAUGGAGAUGGAGUGGGUUGAUGGAGAUGGGCCAUGGCCCAGCCUAAAUGAAAAGUCUUCUAAUACUUCUUUGGGUGGGAGCACCUUGCUUUGCUUGAACUUCAGAAUGAUGCUGUCUCUUCUAGGAAAAGUGUCUGUGAAACUUCCUUAAGCACAGGACUUUACUAAGUUCUUAUGAAGCCAAAACAUUCUCUGGCCAUGAUCCACGGGGAAGGACUGAGGCCUAGUCCACCCAUAAAGCUUAAAAAAACAAAACAAAACAAAACAAACAAACAAAAAAAACCAAUGCUUUCAAGCUAUAGCAAGUUAGGGGGAUGGAAGAGAUUUUUUUUUUUUUUUUUUUGAUACAGUGCCGGUAUCUUUUUGCUGUACUUACAUUGAGAAGGUAUACUGAGUAUGUUCUGUAUUCGGGAACCCUGCUAAUUGAUAAUAAAUAAAUAAAUAGCCUCCCAAGAA